GGAAGUGUGCCCGAAUGCCGAAGGGCCACUUUGAUAGAGUGGGCAAUAGGGGUUCAAGUCCCCUCACUUCCU
rnacentral:tRNA from 1 species